GAUGAACGCUGGCGGCGUGCCUAAUACAUGCAAGUCGAGCGAACGGACGAGAAGCUUGCUUCUCUGAUGUUAGCAGCGGACGGGUGAGUAACACGUGGAUAACCUACCUAUAAGACUGGGAUAACUUCGGGAAACCGGAGCUAAUACCGGAUAAUAUUUUGAACCGCAUGGUUCAAAAGUGAAAGACGGUCUUGCUGUCACUUAUAGAUGGAUCCGCGCUGCAUUAGCUAGUUGGUAAGGUAACGGCUUACCAAGGCAACGAUGCAUAGCCGACCUGAGAGGGUGCUCGGCCACACUGGAACUGAGACACGGUCCAGACUCCUACGGGAGGCAGCAGUAGGGAAUCUUCCGCAAUGGGCGAAAGCCUGACGGAGCAACGCCGCGUGAGUGAUGAAGGUCUUCGGAUCGUAAAACUCUGUUAUUAGGGAAGAACAUAUGUGUAAGUAACUGUGCACAUCUUGACGGUACCUAAUCAGAAAGCCACGGCUAACUACGUG
rnacentral:rRNA from 1 species